rnacentral:rRNA from 1 species
UACGUAGGGGGCAAGCGUUGUCCGGAUUUAUUGGGCGUAAAGAGCGUGUAGGCGGCCUGACAGGUCUGCUGUGAAAACUCGAGGCUCAACCUCGAGAUGUCGGCGGAAACCGUCUGGCUAGAGUCCGGAAGAGGAGAGUGGAAUUCCUGGUGUAGCGGUGAAAUGCGCAGAUAUCAGGAGGAACACCGGUGGCGAAGGCGGGUCUCUGGGCCGAUAUCGACGCUGAGGAGCGAAAGCGUGGGGAGCGAACAGG